GGAGUAUAGCUCAGUGGUAGAGUGUAUACUUAGCAUGCAUGAGGUCCUGGGUUCAAGCCCCCCUACCUCCA
rnacentral:tRNA from 1 species